rnacentral:rRNA from 1 species
UACGUAGGGGGCAAGCGUUGUCCGGAUUUAUUGGGCGUAAAGAGCGUGUAGGCGGCCAGACAGGUCCGUUGUGAAAACUCGAGGCUCAACCUCGAGAUGUCGAUGGAAACCGUCUGGCUAGAGUCCGGAAGAGGAGUGUGGAAUUCCUGGUGUAGCGGUGAAAUGCGCAGAUAUCAGGAAGAACACCGGUGGCGAAGGCGGUUCUCUGGGCAUUACCUGACGCUGAGGAGCGAAAGUGUGGGGAGCGAACAGG